rnacentral:rRNA from 1 species
GAUGAACGCUGGCGGCGCGCCUAACACAUGCAAGUCGAACGGUUAAAGCACCUCCGGGUGUGUAUAAAGUGGCGAACGGCUGAGUAACACGUGGGCAACCUGCCCCUCGCUCCGGGACAGCCUCGGGAAACUGGGAGUAAUACCGGAUACUCCGCCACCCCCGCAUGGGGGAGGCGGGAAAGCUCCGACGGCGAGGGAUGGGCCCGCGGCCUGUUAGCUUGUUGGUGGGGUAACGGCCUACCAAGGCAAUGAUGGGUAGCUGGGUUGAGAGACCGACCAGCCAGAUUGGGACUGAGACACGGCCCAGACUCC